AAAUUGAAGAGUUUGAUCAUGGCUCAGAUUGAACGCUGGCGGCAGGCCUAACACAUGCAAGUCGAACGGUAACAGGAAACAGCUUGCUGUUUCGCUGACGAGUGGCGGACGGGUGAGUAAUGUCUGGGAAACUGCCUGAUGGAGGGGGAUAACUACUGGAAACGGUAGCUAAUACCGCAUAAUGUCGCAAGACUAAAGAGGGGGACCUUCGGGCCUCUUGCCAUCGGAUGUGCCCAGAUGGGAUUAGCUAGUAGGUGGGGUAACGGCUCACCUAGGCGACGAUCCCUAGCUGGUCUGAGAGGAUGACCAGCCACACUGGAACUGAGACACGGUCCAGACUCCUACGGGAGGCAGCAGUGGGGAAUAUUGCACAAUGGGCGCAAGCCUGAUGCAGCCAUGCCGCGUGUAUGAAGAAGGCCUUCGGGUUGUAAAGU
rnacentral:rRNA from 1 species